AUUGAACGCUGGCGGCAGGCCUAACACAUGCAAGUCGAGCGGUAGAGAGAAGCUUGCUUCUCUUGAGAGCGGCGGACGGGUGAGUAAUGCCUAGGAAUCUGCCUGAUAGUGGGGGAUAACGUCCGGAAACGGACGCUAAUACCGCAUACGUCCUACGGGAGAAAGUGGGGGCUCUUCGGACCUCACGCUAUCAGAUGAGCCCAGGUCGGAUUAGCUAGUUGGUGGGGUAAAGGCUCACCAAGGCGACGAUCCGUAACUGGUCUGAGAGGAUGAUCAGUCACACUGGAACUGAGACACGGUCCAGACUCCUACGGGAGGCAGCAGUGGGAAUAUUGGACAAUGGGCGAAAGCCUGAUCCAGCCAUGCCGCGUGUGCGAAGAAGGUCUUCGGAUUGUAAAGCACUUUAAGUUGGGAGGAAGGGUCGUUACCUAAUACGUGACGAUUUUGACGUUACCGACAGAAUAAGCACCGGCUAACUCUGUGCCAGCCGCCGCCGUAAGAC
rnacentral:rRNA from 1 species